UCAAAAAGAUAAAUCAUGAAUUAUCAUCGCCAGCAAUAUAUUAUUUUUUUCUUUCCAGAUUUGUAAGGAAGGACUUCUAAUUUUAGCUGCAAAACUCCCUGAAACUUAUAAGUAGAAGUGUCACAAAAUUAAGUCAAGUAAACGAUAAAAUAGAAGAUUUUUAGGAAUCAAUUGACAACAUUUUACCGGCCCCAAUGAAUGAUCUAAACAAUUUCCGAGUUGACUUUUUUAUGUUUUAAAGUAAGACCUCUCAUGGGAGAAACAGAUUUCUAGAUUUCCACCAGUCAGUGUGAAGGCUCUUCAUUUGCAGAACUGGACAGCAGUCAUCAAGCUUUAUUGAAAUGAGGCAAAGAUUUUAAGACCUGUUGCAAGUGUACGGGGCAAGUGACGGGAAAUUACGAACAAACUAGGCAUUGAUAUGAAUAGAAUUACGCAAACAAAAAGGAAGAAUGAAAAAUAAUCGUAUAAAAUAGAAAGAAAUCAAAUGAUAAAGCUGCCCCCACUAAAAGAGAAGUCAAAGAGAAAAUUCUCAGGAAUUCCAUCACGAAAGUAUGAUCUAACCUCUCUCUCUUCCCACCUAGUGUCCGGUGCCCUGUCUUUUGGUUUUUUUACAGCAAUAUUCCAAAAGAGUUAAAAACAGGUAAAGGAAUUUCCUUUUUGCUCAUUCAUGUCAUUCAUUUUCCAGCUGAUUUAAUUUUAAUCGCGAAUUUUAUUUUAUUUUUUACUUUUUUAUCUCGUUACUCAAGUGAAAUGUCCUACACCAUUUAAAUUUUCUUACCUUUUGACUUGAAGCACUGCACCUUCUCGUACCUUCCAUCGGGUGUACAU